rnacentral:rRNA from 1 species
UACGUAGGGGGCAAGCGUUGUCCGGAUUUACUGGGCGUAAAGAGCGCGUAGGCGGAACGUUAAGUCCGGCUUGAAAGACCCCGGCUCAACCGGGGAGUGGGGCUGGAAACUGGCGUUCUUGAGGGCGAUAGAGGAGGGCGGAAUUCCUGGUGUAGCGGUGAAAUGCGUAGAGAUCAGGAGGAACACCCGUGGCGAAGGCGGCCCUCUGGGUCGACCCUGACGCUGAGGCGCGAAAGCGUGGGGAGCGAACGGG